rnacentral:rRNA from 1 species
CUACGGGUGGCUGCAGUGGGGAAUAUUGCACAAUGGGCGCAAGCCUGAUGCAGCCAUGCCGCGUGUGUGAAGAAGGCCUUCGGGUUGUAAAGCACUUUCAGUCGUGAGGAAGGUGGUAGUGUUAAUAGCGCUAUCAUUUGACGUUAGCGACAGAAGAAGCACCGGCUAACUCCGUGCCAGCAGCCGCGGUAAUACGGAGGGUGCGAGGCGUUAAUCGGAAUUACUGGGCGUAAAGCGCAUGCAGGUGGUUUGUUAAGUCAGAUGUGAAAGCCCGGGGCUCAACCUCGGAACUGCAUUUGAAACUGGCAGACUAGAGUACUGUAGAGGGGGGUAGAAUUUCAGGUGUAGCGGUGAAAUGCGUAGAGAUCUGAAGGAAUACCGGUGGCGAAGGCGGCCCCCUGGACAGACACUGACACUCAGAUGCGAAAGCGUGGGGAGCAAACAGGAUUAGAUACCCGUGUAGUC